UACGAAGGGGGGCUAGCGUUGUUCGGAAUUACUGGGCGUAAAGCGCGCGUAGGCGGUUUUGCAAGCCAGAGGUGAAAUGCCUGAGCUCAACUUAGGAAUUGCCUUUAGACUGCAUCGCUUGAAUCAUGGAGAGGUCAGUGGAAUUCCGAGUGUAGAGGUGAAAUUCGUAGAUAUUCGGAAGAACACCAGUGGCGAAGGCGGCUGACUGGACAUGUAUUGACGCUGAGGUGCGAAAGCGUGGGUAGCAAACAGG
rnacentral:rRNA from 1 species